rnacentral:rRNA from 1 species
ACGGGAGGCAGCAGUGGGGAAUAUUGGACAAUGGGGGGAACCCUGAUCCAGCCAUGCCGCGUGUGUGAAGAAGGCCUUUUGGUUGUAAAGCACUUUAAGCAGUGAAGAAGAAGUUAUGGUUAAUACCCAUAAUGGAUGACAUUAGCUGCAGAAUAAGCACCGGCUAACUCUGUGCCAGCAGCCGCGGUAAUACAGAGGGUGCGAGCGUUAAUCGGAAUUACUGGGCGUAAAGCGAGCGUAGGUGGCUUAAUAAGUCAGAUGUGAAAUCCCCGGGCUUAACCUGGGAACUGCAUCUGAAACUGUUCGGCUAGAGUAGGUGAGAGGGAAGUAGAAUUCCAGGUGUAGCGGUGAAAUGCGUAGAGAUCUGGAGGAAUACCGAUGGCGAAGGCAGCUUCCUGGCAUCAUACUGACACUGAGGUUCGAAAGCGUGGGUAGCAAACAGGAUUAGAUACCCUGGUAGUCCACGCCGUAAACGAUGUCUACUAGUCGUUGGGUCCCUUGAGGACUUAGUGACGCAGCUAACGCAAUAAGUAGACCGCCUGGGGAGUACGGCCGCAAGGUUAAAACUCAAAUGAAUUGACGG